CCACAACUGUCUGCACCUGACAGUUCUUGGAGAGCUGGAGACCGUUGACCAGGCUGAGGGCUGACACAGGACACCUCAGAAGUGAGAAGGCGGGCCUUUCAGGACCAGAGAUGGAGUCCUGUCCAGGCGUCAUGUGGCCAUCACUGGUGUUGCUGCUUUUGCUGCUUCCUACUGCCCAUGGCGCUCCUCACCCGGCUGCUGACCUCCAGGAAAGCUUUCCAAGCGUACUCGAAGAAAUCCAAACUGAAGGAGACAGAGGCCUGUGGAGGGAAGACAACCCGUUUGCUGGCCCCCGCUGUCCUCCUGGCUCAUGAGGUGACUGCUGUGUGGUCCAGAAGCUGGGGGCGAGGACCUAUGGCCUCAUGAGAGCUACCAGGCACAGGAUUGGGGGCUCCCCACUCCUGCUCCCAAGACCCACUUGUCCCCCUCCGGGCCCUUGAGCUGCUGAAUGGGCUGGGGGUGGACACCAGUAUCCUAGCAGGGGCAGAUGUGGACCUCACCAGACUCAUCUGCAGCACCAUUUAAAAAUAAAAGUUAUUUCUUCAA